GUUCCGCCGUGGUUUUUUUUUGCCUUUUUCUUGUUUGCAUAUUAAAAUUUCAUAUGAAUUUUUUGCUUUAUUAAUAUCUUGCAGUUAUUUUUGUUGGUUGCGUCGCUCUGGCUGACUGGUGUCCCAGGGUUAGUUGGGUUCUUGCUCCAUUUGCCCCAUCAAACUGCACAUGGAAAUUAAAUUUCAUUUGUGUCUUAUAGGGGAGAGGCGGAGGUUUUUGAGGUUCUCGUUCUCUGCAUCUG
rnacentral:lncRNA from 1 species